GAUGAACGCUGGCGGCGUGCCUAAUACAUGCAAGUCGAGCGAACAGACGAGGAGCUUGCUCCUCUGACGUUAGCGGCGGACGGGUGAGUAACACGUGGAUAACCUACCUAUAAGACUGGGAUAACUUCGGGAAACCGGAGCUAAUACCGGAUAAUAUAUUGAACCGCAUGGUUCAAUAGUGAAAGACGGUUUUGCUGUCACUUAUAGAUGGAUCCGCGCCGCAUUAGCUAGUUGGUAAGGUAACGGCUUACCAAGGCAACGAUGCGUAGCCGACCUGAGAGGGUGAUCGGCCACACUGAACUGAGACACGGUCCAGACUCCUACGGGAGGCAGCAGUAGGGAAUCUUCCGCAAUGGGCGAAAGCUUGACGGAGCAACGCCGCGUGAGUGAUGAAGGUCUUCGGAUCGUAAAACUCUGUUAUUAGGGAAGAACAAAUGUGUAAGUAACUAUGCACGUCUUGACGGUACCUAAUCAGAAAGCCACGGCUAACUACGUG
rnacentral:rRNA from 1 species